rnacentral:tRNA from 1 species
GGGGUUGUGGCUCAGUGGUAGAGCACUUGCCUAGCAUGUAUGAGGCACUGGGUUCGAUCCCUGACACCA